rnacentral:rRNA from 1 species
CAGGUAAAUCCGGUUCACUUUAACACUGAGGCGUGAUGACGAGGCACUACGGUGCUGAAGCAACAAAUGCCCUGCUUCCAGGAAAAGCCUCUAAGCAUCAGGUAACAUCAAAUCGUACCCCAAACCGACACAGGUGGUCAGGUAGAGAAUACCAAGGCGCUUGAGAGAACUCGGGUGAAGGAACUAGGCAAAAUGGUGCCGUAACUUCGGGAGAAGGCACGCUGACACGUAGGUGAAGUGAUUUACUCAUGGAGCUGAAGUCAGUCGAAGAUACCAGCUGGCUGCAACUGUUUAUUAAAAACACAGCACUGUGCAAACACGAAAGUGGACGUAUACGGUGUGACGCCUGCCCGGUGCCGGAAGGUUAAUUGAUGGGGUCAGCGCAAGCGAAGCUCCUGAUCGAAGCCCCGGUAAACGGCGGCCGUAACUAUAACGGUCCUAAGGUAGCGAAAUUCCUUGUCGGGUAAGUUCCGACCUGCACGAAUGGCGUAAUGAUGGCCAGGCUGUCUCCACCCGAGACUCAGUGAAAUUGAACUCGCUGUGAAGAUGCAGUGUACCCGCGGCAAGACGGAAAGACCCCGUGAACCUUUACUAUAGCUUGACACUGAACAUUGAGCCUUGAUGUGUAGGAUAGGUGGGAGGCUUUGAAGUGUGGACGCCAGUCUGCAUGGAGCCGGCCUUGAAAUACCACCCUUUAAUGUUUGAUGUUCUAACGUGGACCCGUGAUCCGGGUUGCGGACAGUGUCUGGUGGGUAGUUUGACUGGGGCGGUCUCCUCCUAAAGAGUAACGGAGGAGCACGAAGGUUGGCUAAUCCUGGUCGGACAUCAGGAGGUUAGUGCAAUGGCAUAAGCCAGCUUGACUGCGAGCGUGACGGCGCGAGCAGGUGCGAAAGCAGGUCAUAGUGAUCCGGUGGUUCUGAAUGGAAGGGCCAUCGCUCAACGGAUAAAAGGUACUCCGGGGAUAACAGGCUGAUACCGCCCAAGAGUUCAUAUCGACGGCGGUGUUUGGCACCUCGAUGUCGGCUCAUCACAUCCUGGGGCUGAAGUAGGUCCCAAGGGUAUGGCUGUUCGCCAUUUAAAGUGGUACGCGAGCUGGGUUUAGAACGUCGUGAGACAGUUCGGUCCCUAUCUGCCGUGGGCGCUGGAGAACUGAGGGGGGCUGCUCCUAGUACGAGAGGACCGGAGUGGACGCAUCACUGGUGUUCGGGUUGUCAUGCCAAUGGCACUGCCCGGUAGCUAAAUGCGGAAGAGAUAAGUGCUGAAAGCAUCUAAGCACGAAACUUGCCCCGAGAUGAGUUCUCCCUGAGACUUUAGGUCUCCUGAAGGAACGUUGAAGACGACGACGUUGAUAGGCCGGGUGUGUAAGCGCAGCGAUGCGUUGAGCUAACCGGUACUAAUGAACCGUGAGGCUUAACCUUACA